CGUUGGGAGUGGGGGUGAUUUCGGGGAAGAGGAAAGAAGUAGUGGGAUGGAAGUGGUUGGGUGUCCACAGCACGGGACCUUAUGUUUUCUGAAGACCGGCGUCCGAGAUGGCCCGAAUAAAGGAAAGAGCUUCUACGUGUGCCCGGCGGACACAGGCAGCUUCGUGGGGGCCACCGACAUUCCUGUUUCUCAUUGUUUAUUGCAUGAGGACUUUGCGGUAGAGCUUCAGGGUCUGUUUCUAUCACAGGGCAAGAAAGAAUACAGGUUAUUCUUCCGAUGUGUUAGAAGUAAGGCAGAGGGGAAGCAAUGGUGUGGAAAUAUCCCAUGGCAGGAUCCUAAUUCCGAAGAACAUUCUGUAACCAGUAAGUCUCAGCAUGCCUCUGAGAUAUCUCGUUAUCCUUCCAGCCAGCAGAGAAACCCGUUCAAGGUAAUUGACAAGAAUCAAGAACCAUCCCUCUGGAAGCAGUUCAUCAAAGGUGAAGAUGAGGAAAAGACAGCUGAUAAGAAGCAAAGGGAAAAGAGAGAUCCACUCCUGGAUCAAAAGAAGGAACAGAAGCCUGAAUCUAAGUGCUGGAUGGAGGAAGAUCUCUCAUCUGGCCUGGUGGUAAAGGAAAAACAAUCGGCUGUUCAAGAGAUGCAGCGAGGGGAGAAGACAGAGUUUCGUAGUGCUGCAAAGGAGGUUGAAGGGGUGCACAAAAGAAACCUAUUUGAGAUGAAAUCCAAACAGGUCCGUGGGAAUGAGCUGAGAGAACCGUCUGCAUCUCAGGAGAAGUCAAAUGGUGAGAGGCAUUCUCUCCAAAAAGAAUCAGAACCUCCAAGGGAAAAGGAAACUAAGCCUUUGCCUCGAAUUGUUCACAGUCAACACCCAAUAAGCCAGUCCCUGAAAGGGGGACACCUCAGCAAGGAGCACCCCAAGAGCUGGGAGGCUAGAGAAACAAAGGCAAAGAAGGACGCAAGCACGCAGACUCUCCAGAAAAGUCUGCUCCAGGGCCAUUUGCGGGCACAGCCGGAGACCCAGGGCACGCCUGCUCCAAAGGGACCGGCUGCUCAGCCUGCACCGCUGGCCGCAGGGCACCCCCAGGGAGAGAUGCGAGACGCCGAUACAAGCAGUGGUGACAGUGAGGAAGGUGAUGUUGAUUUUGUUUCCUCUAAGCCAGGGAGCCCCUUGCUCUUUGACUUGACUCUAGACUCACAGAAGAAGAAGAACCUUAAAUUCCCUGGUCAGAGUGUGCAAAGAAAAAUUUCUCCUGACUCAGGCGUUUCCAAGAAGGGAGAACCUUCAGACCCAGAAGCCCAACGUGUGUACCUCACAACACAGCUGAAACAAAAGAAGAGCACACUGGCAUCUGUGAACAUCCAGGCUCUUCCAGACAAGGGUCAGAAGUUGUUCAAGCAACUUCAGGAGCUGGAGGAUGCGCUGAGUGCCCUGGCCCUCUCCCCAGAGCAAGGCACUAAUGAGAAGAGUAACACUCAAGUACCACAGCAGAGUAACUUCACCAAAACGACCACUGAUCCUCCCCACUUGGUGCCUCCCAAACCCCUGCAGGGCCAGGAUCUCCAGCCUCUGGGUUGUCUAGGACUGAAGGCUGCCCGCCAGGAGGCUGCUGGAGGGUCUGAUCAGUGCUGUGGAGGCCCUAUGAGCCAAGGUCGCCUUCGCGCAGUGUGGCAAAUCACAAGUGAAGCCAUUGAUGAGCUGCAUCGAUCACUUGAGUCACGUCCUGGCGAGACAGCUGUAGCAGAGGAUCCAGCUGGGUUGAAGAUCCCUUUGUUGCCGCACCAGAAGCAGGCAUUAGCCUGGCUGCUAUGGCGGGAAGGUCAGAAGCCACGAGGAGGAAUCCUGGCGGAUGAUAUGGGGUUAGGAAAAACCCUCACAAUGAUUGCACUCAUCCUGACCCAGAAGAACCAAGAGAAAAACAAAGAAAAGGACAAAACCACGGCUUUGGCUUGGCUUUCCAAAAAUGACUCCUCUGAGUUCACUUCCCAUGGAACACUAGUCAUCUGUCCUGCUUCCCUGAUCCAUCAUUGGAAAAGUGAGGUGGAGAAACGUGUGAGCAGCAACAAACUAAGAGUCUAUCUGUAUCAUGGGCCAAACCGGGAUCAACAUGCAAAAGUCCUCUCCACAUAUGACAUCGUGGUCACUACCUACAGCCUUCUGGCCAAGGAGAUUCCCACAAAGAAGGAAGAGGGAGAGAUGCCAGGUGCAAACCUCAGUGUGAAGGGUGUCUCAUCACCUUUGCUUCGAGUAGUCUGGGCUCGAAUCAUAUUGGAUGAAGCUCACAAUGUUAAGAAUCCCCGAGUGCAGACUUCCUUGGCUGUGUGUAAGCUCCAGGCCCAAGCCCGUUGGGCUGUCACUGGAACCCCCAUUCAGAACAACUUGUUGGACAUGUAUUCACUGCUGAAAUUUCUCCGUUGUUCUCCAUUUGAUGAACUCAGUCUGUGGAGGAGUCAGGUUGACAAUGGUUCAAAGAAAGGAGAAGAACGGUUAAAUAUUUUAACCAAGAGCCUUUUGCUGAGGAGAACAAAAGACCAGCUGGACCCCACCGGCAAGCCCUUGGUGGUGCUCCCCCAGCGUAAAUUUCAGUUGCACCAUUUAAAGCUUUCUGAAGAUGAAGAAAAUGUUUAUAGUGUCCUUUUUGCAAGAUCAAGGUCAGCUCUGCAAUCCUAUCUAAAAAGACAUGAAAGUGGGGGCAGCCAAUCUGGAAGAAGCUCUGAUAAUGCAUUCAGUAGAGUGGCCCAGGAGUUUGGGUCCAGUGGGCCUGGGCUCUCCGUGGCAGCAGACUCGCAGACAUCUAGCACCGCCCAUAUACUGUCACAGUUGCUGAGACUCCGCCAGUGUUGUUGUCAUCUUUCUCUACUGAAGUCGGCCCUGGAUCUGAAAGAGCUGAAGAGUGAAGGCCUGGUCCUUUCCCUGGAAGAGCAGCUCAGAGACUUGACCUUGUCCGAAUUCCAUAACUCAGAGCCGUCUGCCUCCAUUUCCCUUAAUGGCAAAUGCUUCAAUGUGGAGCUUUUUGACGACAGGAGAGAGAGCACCAAGAUUUCAUCUCUGUUGGCAGAAUUGGAGGCAAUCCGAAGAAAUUCAGGGUCCCAAAAGAGUGUCAUCGUCUCUCAGUGGACCAGCAUGCUGAAGGUUGUAACCUUGCACCUUAAGAGGCAUGGACUGACUUAUUCCACCAUCGAUGGCUCUGUUAACCCCAAACAGAGAAUGGACUUGGUGGAGGCAUUUAACAAAUCCAGGGGCCCUCAGGUUAUGCUAAUCUCUCUCUUGGCUGGAGGUGUUGGUCUAAACCUGACUGGAGGAAACCAUCUUUUCCUUCUGGACAUGCACUGGAAUCCGUCACUUGAAGAUCAAGCUUGUGACCGAAUUUACCGAGUAGGGCAGCAGAAAGAUGUUGUCAUACACAGAUUUGUUUGUGAGGGAACAGUGGAAGAGAAGAUCUUGCAGCUCCAAGAAAAAAAGAGAGAUUUGGCCAAACAGAUUCUAUCAGGAACUGGAGAAGUUGUCACCAAGCUCACCUUGGCCGAUCUCAAAGUCCUUUUUGGCAUCUAACUUCCUGUUUAUGGAGCUCAGAAUAGUGCCAUUGUUGCUGGUGGGGACCCAAUGUUACUGCCUUUUCUAACACAGGCUCCAUCCCAUCUCUUCAUCUCCUGCCAAUGAGGCUGCUCAUAUAACCAUCUCUUUAUGGGCUGAGCAGAAGCAGCUCUCUGCGUAAUAUGUAGAUGGAACUGAUGGAUGACUGCAGGGCCCUAGAGACUUGUGAAGCCACUAGGUCAGAGAUUCUUAACCUACUGCUGGCCACGGACCCCUUGGCAGACUGGGACUACUGCGACUUGAAUGUUCUCUCCUCCCCUGCUCAUGCUCUCUCCUGCUGCAUCCUUACAAAUGACGGUGAAAGAGACUGUCUGUUUCUCGCGGGCUCUGUGGAGAUCUGCGGAAGAUAAACACUCCAUCCUCACCUCAAAGGCCAACUGCAGUGACUGUAUCCCCAGAUCAGACACCAUCUUGCCUUUUCUCUUUAGAACAAAAGGUUGUGUUUCCAGUUUCCUCCCUUUCUUUUCUCCCAGGCAUACCUCUUGGGAGUCGCUCCGGUGAGCCUGCUUCUGUCUCAGCCAGCAGCUGCUCUUGGAUCAUAUAGGAUCCUGGACCUUAAUUUCAGCCUUAAGGAAGCUUUGAAAAUACUCAGGUUUGAUGUAUGUAUUCAGAGAAAAAAACCUCUGGACACCGUGAGAGAGGCUGGUAACCCCAAACUACCCUCUCUGAGCUGCAGAUCCUGCUGGAAGAGGCAGGGGGUACAGGGUGACCACCUGGGACUCUUCAUGCUGUGAAGUCCUCCACAGCGUGGUAGCUGUGCCAUGGUGUUGGGGGCAUAUUCAAUAGCUACAGCCUCUGGUCCGGAAGUCAGAUGAAACAGGCUUCUUAACCUGGGGUUCGUGAACUACUGUGAGGCCUUAUGAAGGGUCUAAGAAUCUCCUGAAAUUGUAUGCCCAAAUUAAUGGGUGUUUCUUGGGGAGAGAUCAUUCUCAAAGGGAUCUGUGACCCCCGAACAGGUAAGAAUUCCUGUGCCAGUUAGGAUGACUCUACAGUAGAGUCUUCCUGUGAGGACUGAUCUGUGAAAUAUAUGUUUGAUCAAUGUGGUCAAAAGAAAAUGUUUUUCCCCUCUGCUGACUGAAAUGCCUACCAUUUUCCUUCAAAUGCCAACACGUGGCUUACAUGAACCAAAAAGGGCAUAGAAGAAAGCAAACCAUAAUCCUGUCAUCCUCACUCCUCAGAAACUCUCUUCAGAACUUGGUCCAAGCCAUCCUCUCUGAACAGGCAGGAUUCUGCCCUGCCCUGAGGCCUAUGCUGUUAUCUCCUAUGGGCACUGCCUCUGUCCUGUCAUCUGAGAGAAACAGCAUGAUCCUUGAGUUCCUUGGUAGUUACUACUUUUCUCCACUGGAAAAGGGUCAAGCUUCACCCCUGUAGGGAUCUUAACUGUACCCUGACCAGAACAGAUCAGAAAGAAAAGGACAAGGGUGGGGUCACCGUCCAUCGGAUCCAUAUGUCUCUCUCCCUAGCUAAAUGAAGGCCAUGGCUGGAAAAGCCACAUGUCUUUAACACCAUGUCCUGUGCACUGUCCUCUCAACGCCAGUGGGAAAUGCCUUCCUACCUUCCCCUUGAAGGACACAUUUGGCUGGAUCGACCUCUUUGGUAUUGAUGGCCCCAUAAACUUCAUAGCCGCGGCACAGGCCUGCUUUCUCCUUAGGAGAGAAGGUGAUCUUCUCGUUCACUCCAGGACGGGCACUGUAUGCCACUUUGUUCAACUUUGUGAGCCGUUCCAGGACCACCCCUUUGGUGAUGAGGAUCUCCAGGUCAGAGCCACUGGUCAGCAAGUGCUCGGUGAACUCCACUCCGGUCCGCAUGUCUGCCAGCAGCUGCUCCAGCUGUGCCUUCUGCAGCUGCAGGGAGUUCUCCUUCUGGAUCCGGAUGGCUUCCAGCUGCUUCAGCAGCUUGUCCCGAUGCUCCUCGAUGGCCUUGAUGUAGCCCUCGGAGAAGCUGCGGACGUCGCCGGCCACGGCCUCCACCCGUUCCUGCAGGGCACAGUUGGUCCCUUUGAUCUGUGCCAGCGCCUUCUCCAGGCCCUCCACGUGGGCCUGGGUGCCUUUGAGGAGCUCCCGCACGGAGUCCCCGUGCUUGUGGACAACGUUGCUGGCGAGGUCGCAGGGGUGCUCCCGGUGCCCCCCCACCAUGCAUUCCCGGCACACGGGCUGGUCGCAGAGCUCACAGAACAGCCUCAGCUCCUCCGCAGGGUGAGCGGGACACAGAAUGGGCUUCCCAAUCUGGCUGUAGCCUUUCAAGUCUUUCAGGUCCACCAUGGUGUGGUAAGUCGUCUUCUUCUGCCGCCUAGGGGCAAACAGAGUCGGGGACAGGAAAUGAGGGGACAACUCUACUUGGGAAACAGUCCGGCAGUUUUAAGAGCACGGGCUCUGAAGUCCAGCAAAUCUGGGUUCGGUUCCUCAUUCUAACCUCUUACUAACCACAUGACCCUCUAGGAUUCCAGUUCCUCUUCUAUACCAUGGGGAUAAUACCUACCUGAAAGGGCUGUUGUAUAGGAUUAAAUGACAGUAGGCUAGGGCUCUCUGACUGGGCACCUGACUUUGCCAGAGGUCGCAAUGCUAAGGCUACAUCCUGGAACUUUCCCCAAAGAAUUAAUUUGUCAAGUUUAGGCAAGACCCUCAGCCUACUCCUGCAGCAAGCUAGAGGGGAGAGCACAGUGGAGACCCAGCAGCAAGAGACCAGACCUGUGCCAGAUGGCACAAAAUGAGCCUCAGGCAAUUAAAAAGCAGCCGGCUGGCCACGACAGUCUCCUUCAGCUUCCACCUAACACUCUGGUAAAGCAUUUCCUUUGACUAGCGCCUACAUCACCCAAAGCAGCAAGCUAGAAUUUUCCUUAACAAGAGUCAUCAACAUUAUUAGAGAAAGUGGUCAGUGGUCAGUAAAAUCAAACCUCUAAUUCCCCUUUUCUGUAGCCCUCUAGAGAUUCAGGGAAAUCCCUAGAAACCAUGGUAACUGUUCAGAUUUUCCCCGUUAGCAUUAUAGCAACAUCAAGCUUACAUGCCUAUUCCGGCACCAGAAGAGUGGUUGUAGACAAAAUAGGGCCAGCUGUUUAGCUGGCAGCAAAGUAGUCCAAAUACAAGUUAAAAAUAGAAAGACCGAAGACUACUAACUUGUUCUGUUGGUGAGGCCAGAAAACACAUGGAAGGCAGAACUUAAAGACCACGGUAGGCUAAUCCUAAAACCUUGGCCAUCUUACACUGUGAUGUUCUGGAAUGGGGAAAGGCGGUCUGAAGGGGACAAAGUGAUUUAUGUGACAAACUGUUCACCACACACCCUAAAAGACAUAAUCUGCACCCCAAUACGCACCUACCAGCCCACCUCACCAAGUUCCAGAGUAACACUAGGGUACAAGGCAAAGGCUGAGGUUGUGCCCCACUAAUCAGCACCUUAUACUGGGAAGGCAGCAGAGAUUAGUAGCAAGAGCAUAGAAGGCAGUCAGAAGAUCUGGAUUUUAAAUUCAGUUCUGUUAGACACUACUUACCAGCUAUGGGACCUUGGCAAAUCACAUGCUACUGAGCUUCAGUUUCCUCAAAUAAUAAAUAGGGAUGAAAACAUUGCCUGCUUUUCUAUGAGUUGCAAGGAUCCAAUGAGAUCAAGGGCAGGGGCUUUGUCAUUAUACUCAUU